UAAGACGAACCGUGCGAACGUUGUUCGGAAUCACUGGGCUUAAAGGGCGCGUAGGCGGGCAACCAAGUCCGGGGUGAAAGCCUCCAGCUUAACUGGAGAAGUGCCUCGGAUACUGGUCGUCUUGAGGAGGGUAGGGGCAUCUGGAACUAGCGGUGGAGCGGUGAAAUGCGUUGAUAUCGCUAGGAACUCCGGUGGCGAAGGCGAGGUGCUGGACCCUUUCUGACGCUGAGGCGCGAAAGCCAGGGGAGCGAACGGGAUUAGAUACCCCGGUAGUCCUGGCCCUAAACGAUGAGAACUAGAUAGUGGUCUUGAUAUGAGAUCACUGUCGGAGCAAAAGUGCUAAGUUCUCCGCCUGGGGAGUAUGGUCGCAAGGCUG
rnacentral:rRNA from 1 species